rnacentral:tRNA from 1 species
GCGGCCAUGGUUAAGUGGUAUAAUGAGUCCUUGCCAAGGAUUAGUGGAGGGUUCGAUUCCCUCUGGCCGCA